AUUGAACGCUGGCGGCAGGCUUAACACAUGCAAGUCGAGCGGGGUGAUGGUGCUUGCACUAUCACUUAGCGGCGGACGGGUGAGUAAUGCUUAGGAAUCUGCCUAUUAGUGGGGGACAACAGCUCGAAAGGGAUGCUAAUACCGCAUACGUCCUACGGGAGAAAGCAGGGGAUCACUUGUGACCUUGCGCUAAUAGCUGAGCCUAAGUCGGAUUAGCUAGUUGGUGGGGUAAGGGCCUACCAAGGCGACGAUCUGUAGGGGGUCUGAGAGGAUGAUCCGCCACACUGGGGCUGAGACACGGCCCAGAGUCCUACGGGAGGCAGCAGUGGGGAAUAUUGGACAAUGGGGGGAACCCUGAUCCAGCCAUGCCGCGUGUGUGAAGAAGGCCUUAUGGUUGUAAAGCACUUUAAGCGAGGAGGAGGCUCUUUUGGUUAAUACCCAAGAUGAGUGGACGUUACUCGCAGAAUAAGCACCGGCUAACUCUGUGCCAGCCGCCGCCGUAA
rnacentral:rRNA from 1 species